rnacentral:rRNA from 1 species
AGAACCUUACCAGCUCUUGACAUUCGGGGUAUGGGCAUUGGAGACGAUGUCCUUCAGUUAGGCUGGCCCCAGAACAGGUGCUGCAUGGCUGUCGUCAGCUCGUGUCGUGAGAUGUUGGGUUAAGUCCCGCAACGAGCGCAACCCUCGCCCUUAGUUGCCAGCAUUUAGUUGGGCACUCUAAGGGGACUGCCGGUGAUAGGGCCGAGAGGAAGGUGGGGAUGACGUCAAGUCCUCAUGGCCCUUACGGGCUGGGCUACACACGUGCUACAAUGUUGGUGACAGUGGGCAGCGAGACAGCGAUGUCGAGCUAAUCUCCAACGGCCUCUCAGUUCGGAUUGCACUCUGCAACUCGAGUGCAUGAAGUUGGAAUCGCUAGUAAUCGCAGAUCA